CAUUAUUCCGAUUUUUAUAGGUUUAUUAAUUUCUAUAAAUGAUUGUUGAAAUAUAGUCACUUAGAGUGUGUUUGAUUGACAUGGAAAAUAUCACCUAGAAAAGAAAAUAUUUUUCAUCUUUUGUGAAAAAUAAAAACCACCUCUACCCAAGGAAAAUAUUUUCCUUAAAAACAAGGAAAAUUAGGCAUAUUUUCAAAAGUUGAAAAAUGUUUUCCAUGGAAAAAAAUAGCAAUCAAACACUUCAAAUAGGAAUUUGGGUGGAAAACUGAUAUUUUCCAUGAAAAAUAAAUGUAAUCAAACACACCCUUAGUUCAAAAGAGAAAAAGAAGAGGAAAUUAUUAUUAUUAUUAUUAUAAUUAUAAUUAUUAUUAUUAUUAUUAUUUUGUAAUGCAAAAGGAAUUAAUUUUGUUUGAGCUAAAAAGUGUAUUUUUAGAGUGUUGAAUGGACCAAAUUGAGUUGAUCGACUCGCCUAUCGUCAAGCUCCGUUUGAUCCACCAUGCGAGCCAGCUCGCUUCACUAAAGUAUGGUUUGGCUCGUCUCACCAGUAGGGAAUCAAGCCAGCUCAAGAGUCUAGAGGUCGCAAUCUAAUCAAGUAGCUCGUUGACUUGACUCAACUUGGCCCAUGGCAGCUCGUUUCUAAAUGAGUUGGCUCGUGGCACUCCUAGCCUAGUGAUGAAAUGGUCACUUUUUUUAAAACGAGUAACCGUUUGCUCACUUUUAAGAAAAGUUUGUAACUGUUCUCAGGAAUCAAAAUCUAGAUAUUGUCUGUACAACCAUAAUUUGGAUAUUGUUCAUACAAUCAUAUGGACGAUUUUCAAGAAAUUGGGGAUGACACUAAUAAUAUGAAAUUGAGCAAGGAAGAGAAUGAUAAUUUAAGCAAGAGUGGCUUAAAGAAGAGAAAACAAACGAGUUUCGAUUUAUUUUUUAAAUUUAUUCAUUUUUUAAAUCAAGCCCCGGAAAAUAAAAGAAUUCAUUUCCUCAAGUUUCAAGUACCGUCAAUGAAGCGUGCUGCCAAACAUUGACGACACUUGAACUUAAGAAAAUUGAUUCUUUGUUUCUUGAGGCUUGAUUUUUCCAAAAAAUUGUUUACGUAACGACUUGUUCGUAUGCACUUUUAACUCUGCCUACUAAAAAAUAAGUAGUUGAUCACAAAGUCUAGAGAAAAGGAGGAGGAUUCAAAAAAAUAAAAAAAAUAAUAAUAAAUUUAAAAAAAAAAAGUUGAGCUCAUGGGCCAAGGUCGUUCGAGGCUCGCCAAUUUUUUUUUUCUUUUUGAAUUUUUGCAAAAAAUAUGUGCGAUUUACGGGCUAUCUGCGUUUGUAGCUAAUCUUGAAUGUGAGUUGAAUCAUCGUGCUGACAAACCCCUGUGUAUUCUUAUCUAAACUAUAGAUCUUAUCACGUGCUAAGUUACUUAUGGCAUGUGAUUGGUAAGUAUUGUAUGCUAUUUAGCUUAUGUUGGGUGAGGAUUAAAAUUAGAUUUUUAAUAAAUUUUGAUUGAAGUUGAUAAAAUAUGUGGUUGAAAAGUUACAAGACUCAUAAAAUAUAUGAUUAAAAUUAAUUACUGACUUCGACUUUGAUUAAGACUUUAAUAGGUACUAAAUAGGGGCUAAAUAUGACAAAAAAGCGGCAUAUGCGUACAUGUGAAUUGGUGACUAAUGUCUUCUUAAGAUUUUCCAAUUGCAACUUAAAUUGCUUUGUCG
rnacentral:lncRNA from 1 species